rnacentral:hammerhead_ribozyme from 1 species
AUCCGGCUGAUGAGUCUCAAAUAAGACAAAACGCGCGUCCUGGAU